ensembl:snoRNA T07D4.7 ncRNA
CCAUUGAAGACUGACUACGAGUCAGACUACGAUCGCUCCGGGUGCCAGAGUGAAAGCCCUGGCUUGGGUACCUUCGGGUGCCCGCCAACAUUUUUGGAGAUGUCCCUUCGGUGGGAUU